rnacentral:rRNA from 1 species
UUGAUUGAUGGUGCUUGCACCUGAUUGAUUUUGGUUGCCAACGAGUGGCGGACGGGUGAGUAACACGUAGGUAACCUGCCCAGGAGCGGGGGACAACAUUUGGAAACAGAUGCUAAUACCGCAUAACAGCGUUGUUCGCAUGAACAACGCUUAAAAGAUGGCUUCUCGCUAUCACUUCUGGAUGGACCUGCGGUGCAUUAGCUUGUUGGUGGGGUAACGGCCUACCAAGGCGAUGAUGCAUAGCCGAGUUGAGAGACUGAUCGGCCACAAUGGGACUGAGACACGGCCCAUACUCCUACGGGAGGCAGCAGUAGGGAAUCUUCCACAAUGGGCGCAAGCCUGAUGGAGCAACACCGCGUGAGUGAAGAAGGGUUUCGGCUCGUAAAGCUCUGUUGUUAAAGAAGAACACGUAUGAGAGUAACUGUUCAUACGUUGACGGUAUUUAACCAGAAAGUCACGGCUAACUACGUGCCAGCAGCCGCGGUAAUACGUAGGUGGCAAGCGUUAUCCGGAUUUAUUGGGCGUAAAGAGAGUGCAGGCGGUUUUCUAAGUCUGAUGUGAAAGCCUUCGGCUUAACCGGAGAAGUGCAUCGGAAACUGGAUAACUUGAGUGCAGAAGAGGGUAGUGGAACUCCAUGUGUAGCGGUGGAAUGCGUAGAUAUAUGGAAGAACACCAGUGGCGAAGGCGGCUACCUGGUCUGCAACUGACGCUGAGACUCGAAAGCAUGGGUAGCGAACAGGAUUAGAUACCCUGGUAGUCCAUGCCGUAAACGAUGAGUGCUAGGUGUUGGAGGGUUUCCGCCCUUCAGUG